AGGGUUUAAGGACGAAGAGUCUAGACAUUCAGUUUGUUCCUGCCCCUCAUAAAGGUGAAGAGUAGCAUGUAGUUCGAGGGAAGGGGAGAUUAUAAGCUAGGGUUAGCCAAGGUCAUAGCAGGGAUGGGAGAAUGCGAUCAUAGAAGGAGACCCCUGCAAAUUCAGCCAACAUUUGUGUUGUGCCUAUUAAAUCUGCCCCACGAAUAGGGAAAAGGCAAGUUAUGGAGGCUCUUUUUGAAAAUUAAAAUUACAAAAAACGGGAUUGGACACUCUGAACGUGGUGGAUGGGAUGCGAAAUGACAAGGGAUGCUAUAUAGGUGUUCUCCCUCAUAUCAAAGAAGACAAAGCUUUUACUUACCACGAGUGUCUGCUUCUUUCUUAUAUCAAUUUAUUCUCGGUGCUUUCUUCUUUCUUUACACCUAUGAUUCUAGAAAGACUUCUACCUUUUUGUAUUGUAGUUUGUAGGUUGUUACUAGGACAUUCUGUAGGUAGAACUCCUCUUGAAGAACAGGGUCAAUCAAUAGUUGUUAUGGAUCAGAAGGUGAAUGAUGGUUAAGAAGAAGUGGUUGCAAUUGAAUGUGGUAAGGUGGCCAUUUCGCAGGAGGUAGAUUUGUUGCAGAAUGCACUGGUUAUUUCACCUUUAUCGAUGUUGCCGGCCAAGGAACUUCAUUAUCGGGAGUCUUUACCAUUGCUAUUGUUGGAUAGUGGUCGCAUAGGCUCUCUCCUGGGUAAUCCAAUCCAAAAGGACACUCCAGGUAGUUUUGUUAAUGAUGUUCGGAUGGAUUAUGGGGAACACUUUGAGGACAUUGGAGUCCGUUCAAUGUACUGAAGUCGUUGUUAAGGCUCUUAGGGAGAGAAUUGAGAAAUCCAAGGAGGAAAAGGAGGAGGGAGGUGUGGAGGAAGAGGCUGAAAAUUUAAAGGCCAAGAAUAAGGGCAAAGGGAAGACAAAGGCGACUCUAAAGCCCACUAGAUCCUCAUCAAGGUUUGCUGCUACAAGAUUGGGUAACAGAAGUGGGGUGGAGGAAUUGUUAUUACUUAAAGAUGACAGUGAAAAGGAGUUCGAGCUUAAUUAAUAAAGUAGUUGCACCUCCAUGUCCACCAGGGAUGAAUGUCCUGCCAGACCUGGCUCAACUUCCUUUUGUCAUGAAGACUCUAAGUUGGAAUGUAUGGGGACUGGGUGUUGUCCACCGCAAAAAAGAAGUGUUAAUGAUGGUUAAGAAGUAUAGACCUGAUGUUUGUCUAGUUCAAGAAACAAAGUUACCUGGUCCAUCUUUGUUAGAUGUUCGGUAGGUUUGGGGUUUGGGUUCAUUAGGUUUUUGUAGGCUUGUUUUUGUGGGGGCUUCGAGUGGUCUUUGAUGUUGUUGGGAUCCUUUGUUUUUGGGUUGUAUUGAUACGAUCUUGAAAGAUCUUUUUGUGGGUUUAAUUUUUUUGGGGUCCAUUUACAAGUUUUAAUGGGUGUUUUGUAAUGUGUACGGACCAAAAUACAUCCAAUUUAAAGGAACAGUUCUUGAAUGGUUUCGUUUCUACUAGUGGUGGUACAAUUUACCUUAUUGCUUUGGUGUGGACUUCAGUCUCAUUCGAUGGCUAGAAGAAUGUUCAAUGCAUAGUAUAGAUCAGAUGUUUGUCCACUUCAAGAAACAAAGUUGCUUGGUCCAUCUUUGUUAGAUGUUAGGGAAGUUUGGUGUUUGUGUUCAUUUAGUUUUUGUAGGCUUGAUUCUUUGGGGGCUUCAUGUGGUCUUUGGUGUUGCUGGAAUCCUUUUGCUUUGGGCUGUAUUGAUGUGAUCUUGAAAGAUCUUUUUGUGGGUUUAAUUUUUAUGGGAUCCAUUUAGAAGUUUUAA